CCCGGUUUAAGCGUGUAGGCUGGUUUUCCAGGCAAAUCCGGAAAAUCAAGGCUGAGGCGUGAUGACGAGGCACUGCGGUGCUGAAGCAACAAAUGCCCUGCUUCCAGGAAAAGCCUCUAAGCAUCAGGUAACAUCAAAUCGUACCCCAAACCGACACAGGUGGUCAGGUAGAGAAUACCAAGGCGCUUGAGAGAACUCGGGUGAAGGAACUAGGCAAAAUGGUGCCGUAACUUCGGGAGAAGGCACGCUGAUAUGUAGGUGAAGUCCCUCGCGGAUGGAGCUGAAAUCAGUCGAAGAUACCAGCUGGCUGCAACUGUUUAUUAAAAACACAGCACUGUGCAAACACGAAAGUGGACGUAUACGGUGUGACGCCUGCCCGGUGCCGGAAGGUUAAUUGAUGGGGUUAGCGCAAGCGAAGCUCUUGAUCGAAGCCCCGGUAAACGGCGGCCGUAACUAUAACGGUCCUAAGGUAGCGAAAUUCCUUGUCGGGUAAGUUCCGACCUGCACGAAUGGCGUAAUGAUGGCCAGGCUGUCUCCACCCGAGACUCAGUGAAAUUGAACUCGCUGUGAAGAUGCAGUGUACCCGCGGCAAGACGGAAAGACCCCGUGAACCUUUACUAUAGCUUGACACUGAACAUUGAGCCUUGAUGUGUAGGAUAGGUGGGAGGCUUUGAAGUGUGGACGCCAGUCUGCAUGGAGCCGACCUUGAAAUACCACCCUUUAAUGUUUGAUGUUCUAACGUUGACCCGUAAUCCGGGUUGCGGACAGUGUCUGGUGGGUAGUUUGACUGGGGCGGUCUCCUCCUAAAGAGUAACGGAGGAGCACGAAGGUUGGCUAAUCCUGGUCGGACAUCAGGAGGUUAGUGCAAUGGCAUAAGCCAGCUUGACUGCGAGCGUGACGGCGCGAGCAGGUGCGAAAGCAGGUCAUAGUGAUCCGGUGGUUCUGAAUGGAAGGGCCAUCGCUCAACGGAUAAAAGGUACUCCGGGGAUAACAGGCUGAUACCGCCCAAGAGUUCAUAUCGACGGCGGUGUUUGGCACCUCGAUGUCGGCUCAUCACAUCCUGGGGCUGAAGUAGGUCCCAAGGGUAUGGCUGUUCGCCAUUUAAAGUGGUACGCGAGCUGGGUUUAGAACGUCGUGAGACAGUUCGGUCCCUAUCUGCCGUGGGCGCUGGAGAACUGAGGGGGGCUGCUCCUAGUACGAGAGGACCGGAGUGGACGCAUCACUGGUGUUCGGGUUGUCAUGCCAAUGGCACUGCCCGGUAGCUAAAUGCGGAAGAGAUAAGUGCUGAAAGCAUCUAAGCACGAAACUUGCCCCGAGAUGAGUUCUCCCUGACUCCUUGAGAGUCCUGAAGGAACGUUGAAGACGACGACGUUGAUAGGCCGG
rnacentral:rRNA from 1 species